AGCGUACACGGUGGAUGCCCUGGCAGUCAGAGGCGAUGAAGGACGUGCUAAUCUGCGAUAAGCGUCGGUAAGGUGAUAUGAACCGUUAUAACCGGCGAUUUCCGAAUGGGGAAACCCAGUGUGAUUCGUCACACUAUCAUUAACUGAAUCCAUAGGUUAAUGAGGCGAACCGGGGGAACUGAAACAUCUAAGUACCCCGAGGAAAAGAAAUCAACCGAGAUUCCCCCAGUAGCGGCGAGCGAACGGGGAGCAGCCCAGAGCCUGAAUCAGUGUGUGUGUUAGUGGAAGCGUCUGGAAAGGCGCGCGAUACAGGGUGACAGCCCCGUACACAAAAAUGCACAUGCUGUGAGCUCGAUGAGUAGGGCGGGACACGUGGUAUCCUGUCUGAAUAUGGGGGGACCAUCCUCCAAGGCUAAAUACUCCUGACUGACCGAUAGUGAACCAGUACCGUGAGGGAAAGGCGAAAAGAACCCCGGCGAGGGGAGUGAAAAAGAACCUGAAACCGUGUACGUACAAGCAGUGGGAGCCUCUUUAUGGGGUGACUGCGUACCUUUUGUAUAAUGGGUCAGCGACUUAUAUUCUGUAGCAAGGUUAACCAAAUAGGGGAGCCGAAGGGAAACCGAGUCUUAACUGGGCGUUAAGUUGCAGGGUAUAGACCCGAAACCCGGUGAUCUAGCCAUGGGCAGGUUGAAGGUUGGGUAACACUAACUGGAGGACCGAACCGACUAAUGUUGAAAAAUUAGCGGAUGACUUGUGGCUGGGGGUGAAAGGCCAAUCAAACCGGGAGAUAGCUGGUUCUCCCCGAAAGCUAUUUAGGUAGCGCCUCGUGAAUUCAUCUCCGGGGGUAGAGCACUGUUUCGGCAAGGGGGUCAUCCCGACUUACCAACCCGAUGCAAACUGCGAAUACCGGAGAAUGUUAUCACGGGAGACACACGGCGGGUGCUAACGUCCGUCGUGAAGAGGGAAACAACCCAGACCGCCAGCUAAGGUCCCAAAGUCAUGGUUAAGUGGGAAACGAUGUGGGAAGGCCCAGACAGCCAGGAUGUUGGCUUAGAAGCAGCCAUCAUUUAAAGAAAGCGUAAUAGCUCACUGGUCGAGUCGGCCUGCGCGGAAGAUGUAACGGGGCUAAACCAUGCACCGAAGCUGCGGCAGCGACGCUUAUGCGUUGUUGGGUAGGGGAGCGUUCUGUAAGCCUGCGAAGGUGUACUGUGAGGUAUGCUGGAGGUAUCAGAAGUGCGAAUGCUGACAUAAGUAACGAUAAAGCGGGUGAAAAGCCCGCUCGCCGGAAGACCAAGGGUUCCUGUCCAACGUUAAUCGGGGCAGGGUGAGUCGACCCCUAAGGCGAGGCCGAAAGGCGUAGUCGAUGGGAAACAGGUUAAUAUUCCUGUACUUGGUGUUACUGCGAAGGGGGGACGGAGAAGGCUAUGUUGGCCGGGCGACGGUUGUCCCGGUUUAAGCGUGUAGGCUGGUUUUCCAGGCAAAUCCGGAAAAUCAAGGCUGAGGCGUGAUGACGAGGCACUACGGUGCUGAAGCAACAAAUGCCCUGCUUCCAGGAAAAGCCUCUAAGCAUCAGGUAACAUCAAAUCGUACCCCAAACCGACACAGGUGGUCAGGUAGAGAAUACCAAGGCGCUUGAGAGAACUCGGGUGAAGGAACUAGGCAAAAUGGUGCCGUAACUUCGGGAGAAGGCACGCUGAUAUGUAGGUGAAGCGACUUGCUCGUGGAGCUGAAAUCAGUCGAAGAUACCAGCUGGCUGCAACUGUUUAUUAAAAACACAGCACUGUGCAAACACGAAAGUGGACGUAUACGGUGUGACGCCUGCCCGGUGCCGGAAGGUUAAUUGAUGGGGUUAGCGGCAACGCGAAGCUCUUGAUCGAAGCCCCGGUAAACGGCGGCCGUAACUAUAACGGUCCUAAGGUAGCGAAAUUCCUUGUCGGGUAAGUUCCGACCUGCACGAAUGGCGUAAUGAUGGCCAGGCUGUCUCCACCCGAGACUCAGUGAAAUUGAACUCGCUGUGAAGAUGCAGUGUACCCGCGGCAAGACGGAAAGACCCCGUGAACCUUUACUAUAGCUUGACACUGAACAUUGAGCCUUGAUGUGUAGGAUAGGUGGGAGGCUUUGAAGUGUGGACGCCAGUCUGCAUGGAGCCGACCUUGAAAUACCACCCUUUAAUGUUUGAUGUUCUAACGUUGGCCCCUUAUCGGGGUUGCGGACAGUGUCUGGUGGGUAGUUUGACUGGGGCGGUCUCCUCCUAAAGAGUAACGGAGGAGCACGAAGGUUGGCUAAUCCUGGUCGGACAUCAGGAGGUUAGUGCAAUGGCAUAAGCCAGCUUGACUGCGAGCGUGACGGCGCGAGCAGGUGCGAAAGCAGGUCAUAGUGAUCCGGUGGUUCUGAAUGGAAGGGCCAUCGCUCAACGGAUAAAAGGUACUCCGGGGAUAACAGGCUGAUACCGCCCAAGAGUUCAUAUCGACGGCGGUGUUUGGCACCUCGAUGUCGGCUCAUCACAUCCUGGGGCUGAAGUAGGUCCCAAGGGUAUGGCUGUUCGCCAUUUAAAGUGGUACGCGAGCUGGGUUUAGAACGUCGUGAGACAGUUCGGUCCCUAUCUGCCGUGGGCGCUGGAGAACUGAGGGGGGCUGCUCCUAGUACGAGAGGACCGGAGUGGACGCAUCACUGGUGUUCGGGUUGUCAUGCCAAUGGCACUGCCCGGUAGCUAAAUGCGGAAGAGAUAAGUGCUGAAAGCAUCUAAGCACGAAACUUGCCCCGAGAUGAGUUCU
rnacentral:rRNA from 1 species